AUGGAAUCUCUUCCUGAUGAAGAUGCUGUGAAGAGUGGUGACAUGACAACACAGGAUUUAGAGUAUUACAAGAACUUAGUUGACAAAGCAGCGGCAGCGUUUGAGAGGAUUGACUCUAACUUGGAAAGAAGUCCUACUAUGGUUUCCCCCACAGAUAGACUUCCUGCAGACAUUUCCCCCAAGCCCACCAUCUUUCUUCCUUCAAUUGCUGAAAUAAACCUCCAUAAGACUGGAACAUAUCUUUGUCUUCUUGAGAAUUUUUUCCCAGAUGUUAUAAAGGUAUAUUGGAAAGAAAAGAAUGGCGAUAGAAUUCUGCAAUCCCAGGAGGGAAAAACCACGAAGACUGAUGACACGUACAUGAAAUUCAGCUGGCUGACCGUGACUGAAAAGUCAACGGAUAAAGAACACAGAUGUAUUGUCCAACACGAGAAGAACAGAGGAGGCACUGAUCAAGAGAUUCUUUUUCCUUCAGUGAUUGAAGAUGUCCCUGCAUUUAAUUUUACAAAAGCUUGUCUGAGAGAUGAAAGCAACACCCUGCAGCUGCAGCUCACCAGCACCUCUGCCUAUUACACCUACCUCCUCCUCCUCCUCAAGAGCAUAAUCUACUUUGCCGUCAUCGCCUUCUGCCUGUUCAGGAGAACAGCAGUCUGUGGCAAUGGAAAGAGUUCGUAACAGAUGGCGGCACAAAGAAGUCAAUUUAUCUUCCUCAUUUAUUGCCUAAAAGUGUCUACUGAGAAUCUACCUUGGCUUUUUCUCUGGGUUUGGUGUUUCAUUUCAAGUGUGUACUUUUCUACUAUGUCAUUAUUGUGUAAUGGUUUUUCAAACCACUAGGCAAACAGAAAAUUUUACUCUGUAACAACGAUGACUUCUGCCAUUACUCAGGGGCAGGGCCAAGGGGUAGUCCUUUAGCAACACUCUCUCCGUGAUCUCCAUCAGCUCCUCCAGCAACCC